rnacentral:rRNA from 1 species
GGCUCAGAUUGAACGCUGGCGGCAUGCCUUACACAUGCAAGUCGAACGGCAGCACGGGAGCAAUCCUGGUGGAGAGUGGCGAACGGGUGAGUAACAUAUCGGAACGUGCCCAAUCGUGGGGGAUAACGUAGAGAAAUUUACGCUAAUACCGCAUACGAUCUAAGGAUGAAAGCGGGGGAUCGCAAGACCUCGCGCGAUUGGAGCGGCUGAUAUCAGAUUAGGUUGUUGGUGAGGUAAAAGCUCACCAAGCCGACGAUCUGUAGCUGGUUUGAGAGAACGACCAGCCACACUGGGACUGAGACACGGCCCAGACUCCUACGGGAGGCAGCAGUGGGGAAUUUUGGACAAUGGGCGAAAGCCUGAUCCAGCAAUGCCGCGUGCAGGAAGAAGGCCUUCGGGUUGUAAACUGCUUUUGUACGGAACGAAACGGUCCGCUUUAAUACAGUGGGCUAAUGACGGUACCGUAAGAAUAAGCACCGGCUAACUACGUG